CGUCGGCGUCAUCUCUCUUUUUCUUUUUACUCCCAUCGUCGUCUUCGUUGUCAUUGCGUCGUCGUCUCCUCCUCGCGGUGAAAGGGAAAGAGAAAGGGAGAGAAGUGAAGGUACUGUUCCCGUCCGCUCUUCCCUCGGAAAACAUUUCUCGAGAUCCAGUCAAAGAGACCAUGCCGCGCCGCGACGACCCCAACCCAUUCGACGAAGAAGAAGUCAAUCCCUUCUCGAAGGGUGCAGGUCCUGGUUCAAAAUUGCAUUUUCCUUCACUGUCAUCAUUGCAUCUGGGUUUUGGCAACAAACAUGAUGCUACUGUGGACAUACCGCUGGAGACGAUGAAUGAUUCGAAGAAGAAGGCGAAAGAACUUGCAGCAUGGGAAACAGAUCUGAGAAGGAGAGAAAUGGACAUUAAACGCAGGGAAGAUGCUUUAUCAAAUUCUGGUGUUUCUACGGAUGAGAAAAACUGGCCCCCGUUUUUCCCAAUCAUUCAUCAUGACAUAGCUAAGGAGAUACCAAUCCAUGCUCAGAAGUUGCAAUAUCUGGCUUUUGCAAGUUGGCUGGGGAUAGUUCUUUGUCUUGUGUGGAAUGUCAUUGCGGUGACUGUCUGUUGGAUUAAAGGUGGAGGGGUUAAAAUCUUUUUCCUUGCGACAAUUUAUGCUUUACUUGGAUGCCCUCUUUCAUAUGUGCUGUGGUACAGGCCUCUUUAUCGUGCAAUGAGGACUGAUAGCGCUGUGAAGUUUGGCUGGUUUUUCCUUUUGUACCUGUUCCAUAUUGGUUUCUGUAUCUUUGCUGCUAUUGCUCCUCCAAUUGUAUUCCAUGGAAAGUCAUUGACGUGUUGUAUCAUUGGACCUUCCGAUUAGACCUGACUGACAAGGCUGGUUUACAUUGCCUCAUAUGGACUGCAAUUUAAGAUCCUACUUGAGGAGCUUGGUUGUGUAUCAGUCAAUACUGGAUGUGAACCUAACUGAGCCCACAUAUGCUUAGUGAUAACUGGGGUAUCUUGGCUGCGGUUGAUACUAUCUCAGAUCACUUGUUGGUGGGGAUUUUUUACUUGGUCGGAUUUGGCUUAUUUUGCUUGGAAACACUUAUAAGCCUGUGGGUACUUCAGAAAGUUUAUAUGUAUUUCAGAGGGCAGAAAUGAAGAUGGUGCAGGGAGCAAACACGAAACCUCUAAUUCAUCAUCCUAUUGCUUGAGCUGUCUACACUCUAUAUACAUGCUUGGCUAUGUUUUCUGUAUUUCUCUCCUUUUUUCCUUUUUUUUAAAGAUUGUUGUUUGAUGAAGAGGUACCAAGUUGUGGGAGAGUAUCAAAAUGAUUCUAAUUCUUCUGUUCAUUUUCUGUGUCAAUAAGGUCUCAUCUGCCUCUUGCCUGAAGUUUGAAGUUUGGGUUAUUAAUUUGAAGAUUAAUGUUUCUGUUGCA